rnacentral:sRNA from 1 species
CGAACUCAGAGGUGAGCCGAGUGUCUAU